rnacentral:rRNA from 1 species
CACGUAGGGGGCGAGCGUUGUCCGGAUUUAUUGGGCGUAAAGAGCUCGUAGGCGGCUCAGUAAGUCAGGUGUGAAAACUCCAGGCUCAACCUGGAGACGCCACUUGAUACUGCUGUGGCUAGAGUCCGGAAGAGGCGAGUGGAAUUCCCGGUGUAGCGGUGAAAUGCGCAGAUAUCGGGAGGAACACCAAUGGCGAAGGCAGCUCGCUGGGACGGUACUGACGCUGAGACGCGAAAGCGUGGGGAGCAAACAGG